GGCUGGUCCGAGUGCAGGGGUGUUUACAACUAAUUCAUCACAACCAGUUACAGAUUCCUUUGCUCCUUCUCCUUUUUCACUGUUUCACUUGACCACCCUUAA
rnacentral:Y_RNA from 1 species